UACGUAGGGGGCAAGCGUUGUCCGGAUUUAUUGGGCGUAAAGAGCGUGUAGGCGGCCAGGCAGGUCCGUUGUGAAAACUCGAGGCUCAACCUCGAGAUGUCGAUGGAAACCGUCUGGCUAGAGUCCGGAAGAGGAGUGUGGAAUUCCUGGUGUAGCGGUGAAAUGCGCAGAUAUCAGGAAGAACACCUAUGGCGAAGGCAGCACUCUGGGACGGUACUGACGCUGAGACGCGAAAGCGUGGGGAGCGAACAGG
rnacentral:rRNA from 1 species